rnacentral:rRNA from 1 species
CAAUAGCGUAUAUUAAAGUUGUUGCAGUUAAAAAGCUCGUAGUUGGAUUUCGGAGCCGACCGGGCGGUCUGUCGAGAGACACGCACUGCUCGGUGGCUCUUCCUCUCGGAGGCCCUGGCUGCCCUUAACUGGAGCGGGCCGGGGAUUCGGGACGUUUACUUUGAAAAAAUUAGAGUGUUCAAAGCAGGCCGGUGCUUGGAUACAUUAGCAUGGAAUAAUGGAAUAGGGCUUGGGUCCUAUUUUGUUGGUUUUCGGGACCGAGGUCAUGGUUAAGAGGGACAGUUGGGGGCAUUCGUAUUCAAUUGUCAGAGGUGAAAUUCUUGGAUUUAUGGAAGACGAACAACUGCGAAAGCAUUUGCCAAGGAUGUUUUCAUUAA